rnacentral:rRNA from 1 species
GACGUAGGGCACGAGCGUUGUCCGGAUUUAUUGGGCGUAAAGAGCUCGUAGGCGGCUUGUCGCGUCGUCUGUGAAAUCCCGCGGCUCAACCGCGGGUCUGCAGUCGAUACGGGCUAGCUAGAGUUGUGAGGGGAGAUGGAAUUCCUGGUGUAGCGGUGAAAUGCGCAGAUAUCAGGAGGAACACCGGUGGCGAAGGCGGAUCUCUGGGCCAUUACUGACGCUGAGGAGCGAAAGCGUGGGGAGCGAACAGG